CGGUCUUCUAAGCCACUUCCGCCCUAACCUAGUUGCCAUAGUAACAGAGCCUCCAGUGGAGGGCGGGGAAGGAGCUUGGAACCUGCUGAGUGGGGAUGGAUGGGUCUGUGUUCCCAUCCACUUACAAAAAAGCCGUGCAUUAUGGUUGAGAGGGGAGCCGCCACCGAGAGGAUCCCUGAGACCAAAGAUCCAUCGGGCAGUCCACCAGCUCUUCAACAAUCGACUCAGACCCGCAAGUCCACGCCCCUUCUAGCUUCUAGUACUAGUGUGGGUGUACAUAUGUGUGUGCCUGAAGAGGUCAGAAGUCAGCCUGGAGUGUUGUUCAUCAGAAGCCAUCCACCAUGUGUUUUGAGACAGGGCCUCUCAUUA
rnacentral:lncRNA from 1 species